rnacentral:rRNA from 1 species
GACGAACGCUGGCGGCGUGCUUAACACAUGCAAGUCGAACGGAAAGGCCCUGCUUUUGUGGGGUGCUCGAGUGGCGAACGGGUGAGUAACACGUGAGUAACCUGCCCUUGACUUUGGGAUAACUUCAGGAAACUGGGGCUAAUACCGGAUAGGAGCUCCUGCUGCAUGGUGGGGGUUGGAAAGUUUCGGCGGUUGGGGAUGGACUCGCGGCUUAUCAGCUUGUUGGUGGGGUAGUGGCUUACCAAGGCUUUGACGGGUAGCCGGCCUGAGAGGGUGACCGGCCACAUUGGGACUGAGAUACGGCCCAGACUCCUACGGGAGGCAGCAGUGGGGAAUAUUGCACAAUGGGCGGAAGCCUGAUGCAGCAACGCCGCGUGCGGGAUGACGGCCUUCGGGUUGUAAACCGCUUUCGCCUGUGACGAAGCGUGAGUGACGGUAAUGGGUAAAGAAGCACCGGCUAACUACGUGCCAGCGGCCGCGGUGAUACGUAGGGUGCGAGCGUUGUCCGGAUUUAUUGGGCGUAAAGGGCUCGUAGGUGGUUGAUCGCGUCGGAAGUGUAAUCUUGGGGCUUAACCCUGAGCGUGCUUUCGAUACGGGUUGACUUGAGGAAGGUAGGGGAGAAUGGAAUUCCUGGUGGGAGCGGUGGAAUGCGCAGAUAUCAGGAGGAACACCAGUGGCGAAGGCGGUUCUCUGGGCCUUUCCUGACGCUGAGGAGCGAAAGCGUGGGGAGCGAACAGGCUUAGAUACCCUGGUAGUCCACGCUGUAAACGGUGGGUACUAGGUGUGGGGUCCAUUCCACGGGUUCCGUGCCGUAGCUAACGCUUUAAGUACCCCGCCUGGGGAGUACGGCCGCAAGGCUAAAACUCAAAGGAAUUGACGGGGCCCCGCACAAGCGGCGGAGCAUGCGGAUUAAUUCGAUGCAACGCGUAGAACCUUACCUGGGUUUGACAUGGAUCGGGAGUGCUCAGAGAUGGGUGUGCCUCCUUUGGGGUCGGUUCACAGGUGGUGCAUGGCUGUCGUCAGCUCGUGUCGUGAGAUGUUGGGUUAAGUCCCGCAACGAGCGCAACCCUUGUUCACUGUUGCCAGCACGUUAUGGUGGGGACUCAGUGGAGACCGCCGGGGUCAACUCGGAGGAAGGUGGGGAUGACGUCAAGUCAUCAUGCCCCUUAUGUCCAGGGCUUCACGCAUGCUACAAUGGCUGGUACAGAGAGUGGCGAGCCUGUGAGGGUGAGCGAAUCUCGGAAAGCCGGUCUCAGUUCGGAUUGGGGUCUGCAACUCGACCUCAUGAAGUCGGAGUCGCUAGUAAUCGCAGAUCAGCAACGCUGCGGUGAAUACGUUCCCGGGGCU